AGCUUUGUGCAGUGGCAGUAUGGUAGCCAAUGAGGUUUACCCGAGGCACGAUUAUUGCUAAUUGAAAUCUUUUCCCAAUACCCCAAUAUCUAACUUGAAAUAUAGUUGGCAUUGGCAAUUUUUGACACUCUCUAUGGAGA